AAAGCCCUUCCUGGACCCUCUUGUUGGACUAAAUGACCUUUCUCCACAUUCCUAACCACCCUGUGCAAACCUCUCUUUGAACACCUGCCACAUUCUGUUGAAAUUAAGUCUUAUCCUCCCACUGUAUUUUAAAGUCUUUGAGGACGAUGCCCGUUUGCAAGUCACCGUUGUAUGCUUGGUGUCUGGCACAAAGCAGGUGAUCUGAAAUUCCUGGUGGAAGUGGAAGGGUCAUGUGUAUGUUGGGCGGGUGUGUGUGAGAAGGUAAAGGACACGUUUUUCAUUUGCCUUUAUAUAGCGACCACUCAUCUUAACUUCAACCCCUAUUCCAAAUCUUCCUCUGAAUUGUACAAAUUUUUAAUUGUUACAUUCUCUGUAG
rnacentral:lncRNA from 10 species